rnacentral:rRNA from 1 species
CCCUUAGAUGUUCUGGGCCGCACGCGCGCUACACUGAUGCAUUCAACGAGUCUAAAACCUGGUCUGAUAGGGCUGGGUAAUCUUUUGAAUGUGCAUCGUGAUUGGGAUAGAUGAUCGCAAUUCUUCAUCUUCAACGAGGAAUGCCUAGUAAACGCAAGUCAUCAGCUUGCAUUGAUUACGUCCCUGCCCUUUGUACACACCGCCCGUCGCUCCUACCGAUUGAAUGUUCCGAUGAAUACCAUGGACUGAGAGUAUGAAUGGGUUCGCCUAUUUCUGCUUCUCGGGAAGUGGAGUAAAUCUUAACAUUUAGAGGAAGGAGAAGUCGUAACA